rnacentral:rRNA from 1 species
UACGAAGGGAGCUAGCGUUGUUCGGAAUUACUGGGCGUAAAGGGCUCGUAGGCGGCCAACUAAGUCAGACGUGAAAUCCCUCAGCUUAACUGGGGAACUGCGUCUGAUACUGGAUGGCUUGGAUCCGGGAGAGGGAUGCGGAAUUCCAGGUGUAGCGGUGGAAUGCGUAGAGAUCCGGAAGAAUACCGGUGGCGAAGGCGGCCUGCUGGGCAGUGGCUGACACUGAGGCGCGACAGCGUGGGGAGCAAACAGGG